GGUAGAUAGCAGGAUGCGGCCUUGUGGGUGGUAGCUGGUAUGUUGGUGGAAACUCCAUGCUUCCAUGGAACCAGCUGUAGAGGAGUGGUGAUGCAAUGAGCAUCCUGGAAGUUUAGUUGUCAUUUGUCACCUUUUGGAUAAUGGAGUAGAUUUCUGAAGCUAUUUCUCCUUGUUUGGUGUUCUGCCUGCAAUUUGGACAAGUGGACUUCAGAUUAUGUCUUCGUAGACUGAAAGGCUUGGAAGCCUCUCACCCUAAACAUCACAGCUGGGAAUAUGCUGGACCACAACUAAAGCCAGCAUGGCACUGACUCUGACCAAAGGUGAGACCCAGUACUCAUCAAGAGAAGCCUGAAGUGCUCUGAAGGCUGCCAACAAAAUGUCAAGUGAGUCCACUGACAAAAAGGAAGAGAAACCUUGGAAAAACAUUAUUGCUUAUGUUCCAUCUGAAUCUGAGCAGCUGACCUGAGGAAGGAGGGAAGCACAGGGAAGUGGAACAUCAGAGAGGAGAAGCCUGGCUCAACUUGGCAGAGAAGGCAUCUUCAGAGAAGGAGUGCCCACACUGACACCUGAAUGAUGACUAGUGCUUAACCAGAUGAACUGGAUGAGAAAGGCAUUUCAGACACAGGGCAUAGCAUGAACAAGGGUCCAGAGAUGAGGGUGCAAGCAGAGUCCAGGGUGCACAGGGAGUUCAGUACAGCUGGAGCUCAGAUGCUAGGGAGAGGAGUAGGGAGAAAAGAGGCUCCAUUACAAAAAUGUAGGCAUGAGAUCAAAGGGAACCUGGAGUACUAUGCUAAGGGGACUCAAUCCUAGGUGAUGGGGAGGCAUUGAAGGAUUUAGGUGAGAUUGGCAUUUAGGAAGCUCACUUGAAGCAGUGUUGAAUGGGUAGGAGUGGGGUAAGACUGGAGCUGGUGCAGCAAUAUGGGUGAGUGUAGCUGUGUGUGAAAAAAGGUCCGAGUUUAAUGGGAAAACUAAGGAGUGUGGGGUGGGAGGAAACUUGAUGAGAGAGGAUUUCCAAGGAUAAUAUUCUAGAUGUGUGGGUUGAUGACAAUGCUGAGAGCAGGGACAGAGGAAGAGAAGCAGGCUUGCUGGGGGGAAAUGAUGAACUUCUUGAGGUUCUUACCAGACACCUAAGUGGAGAUGCCCUUUGGGUGCCACAUGCGCCCACACUGCUGAUAAGGGAUCUGCAUAGUGGGGGGAGAUUUGGAAGUCAAUGAAGCCACAGAUAGGGAUGAGCUUUUCAAAGAAGAGUGUGUGGAGUGAAAGGGUUAGGGACAUAGAACCAAACCCUGAGACCCACUCCACUGAAGGCAAAGAAGAGGAGGAGUAUACAGAGAACACAAGGAAGAAGUGGUCAAAACGUAGAAGGAAGAUUGGUCUCCAGGGGUGGGGGGGGGGGGUCCUGAAUUUGAGCAUGAUUUUUAGUGCACAAUAGAUCCCACAGAGCUUUCAAGAAACACUUGGUGGUUGGUGAAGACCCAAAUAAUGGUGAGUGUGUUUUACAUUUUAGAGUUCCAGGUAAUUUUCCUUCUUGGUAUCAUCUGGUUAUGGUAUAUAAUUUGGAGGAAAAAACUACUUUCAUUCACUUUUUAUUUUUCCUCAGAAAGACUUGAAGAAAUACAAAACCAUAGGACUUUUGGUAUGUGAUGGAGACAUUCCAUACAAUUAGUACAGAACAUAGACAAAUGGAAAAUAUUGUGUUUUGCUUGAAAUUAUCUCUGUGGACUAAAAUGUAAACCUAGAUUUUGCAUAUGCAUGUGUAUUUAUUAAUGACAUUAUUUAACUCUCAUUCUAGAUAGUUUUGUGUUGAACUCUAUUUAGAUGAGUAGAGACAUACUAAUUAUCUCAGUUAAUUAGCCAAAAUAAAUCUACAUAGUUUAACACAUCAAAGAUUUAUUUUCCACUCAUGGUUUAUAUUUACUAUGGGUCAGUGGGAGUUAUGCUCCACAUGAUUACUCAGGGAUUCACUCUGACAUGGGUCCACCGUAUUUUUUUUUUUUUUUUGAGACAGAGUAUUUUUAGUAGAGACGGGGUUUCACCAAGUUGGCCAGGCUGGUCUCAAGCUCCUGACCUCAGGUGAUUCACUCACCUCAGCCUCCCAAAGUUCUGGGAUUACAGGUGUGAGCCAUUGCCAGGCCCACCAUCUUAAAACUGCACCAUCCUCAGCAGGGGAAAAAGAGAGAUGCUGUAUCACAUCCUGUCUCUGCAAUGCUUUGUCUGGGAAGGGGCACGUACCGCUUUGAUCCACAGCACAUUGGCCAGGACUAAGCAUGCAGUCUCAUCUAAUUGCAUGGAGGAGCACAAUUCCUCCAUGGCAGGUGGUACAGUUCUCUGCCACACUCGAUAUUGUAUAAAUCCAGGGUCCCAGAAGAUAGAAGGCAGCAAAAUAUAAGGAAAUUAAUGAUACCUUACAAUUAAUAUUAACAGUAUUACCAAAAUACUUUUCUUAAAAAUUAUGUAAACCCAGUGUGCAUCUAUAUAAUUUUACAAUAUCUAGUUUCAUUAGAAGCAAUUUAUUUUUUAAAACCCAG
rnacentral:lncRNA from 1 species